UACGGGGGGGGCAAGCGUUGUUCGGAAUUACUGGGCGUAAAGGGCUCGUAGGCGGCCAACUAAGUCGGGUGUGAAAUCCCCGGGCUCAACCUGGGAACUGCAUUUGUGACUGCAUGGCUGGAGUGCGGCAGAGGGGGAUGGAAUUCCGCGUGUAGCAGUGAAAUGCGUAGAUAUGCGGAGGAACACCGAUGGCGAAGGCAAUCCCCUGGGCCUGCACUGACGCUCAUGCACGAAAGCGUGGGGAGCAAACAGG
rnacentral:rRNA from 1 species